GACUUGGAGGGAGGACUGUUCAGUC
rnacentral:piRNA from 1 species